rnacentral:rRNA from 1 species
UACAGAGGUCUCAAGCGUUGUUCGGAUUCAUUGGGCGUAAAGGGUGCGCAGGCGGCGUGGUAAGUUGAGUGUGAAAUCUCGGGGCUCAACCCCGAAACUGCACUCAAUACUGCCAUGCUCGAGGACUGUAGAGGAGAGUGGAAUUCACGGUGUAGCAGUGAAAUGCGUAGAUAUCGUGAGGAAGACCAGUUGCGAAGGCGACUCUCUGGGCAGUUCCUGACGCUCAUGCACGAAGGCCAGGGGAGCAAACGGG